AAGUCGUAACAAGGUUUCCGUAGGUGAACCUGCGGAAGGAUCAUUACAGAGUAAACUUGGUGGGUUGUUGCUGGCUCUCAAUUGAGCAUGUGCACGCCUGUCAUCUUUAUCUUUCCACCAUGUGCACUUUUUGUAGGUCUGGAUUGGACAAUAAGCCUAGCCCCUUGUGGGUUAUUGGAAAGUUGCUGAUUACAUCGGCUGUUUCUGUUACUGGCUGUUUCUUCCUAGGCUCUACGAUUUAUCUAUAUACACCAUGUAUGUCAAUGAACGCAAUCAAUGGGCCUUUAAAAGCCUAUAAACCUAUAAUACAACUUUCAGCAACGGAUCUCUUGGCUCUC
rnacentral:misc_RNA from 1 species